rnacentral:rRNA from 1 species
AACGAACGCUGGCGGCAUGCCUUACACAUGCAAGUCGAACGGCAGCACGGGAGCAAUCCUGGUGGCGAGUGGCGAACGGGUGAGUAAUAUAUCGGAACGUGCCCAGUAGUGGGGGAUAGCCCGGCGAAAGCCGGAUUAAUACCGCAUGAGACCUGAGGGUGAAAGCGGGGGAUCGCAAGACCUCGCGCUAUUGGAGCGGCCGAUAUCAGAUUAGCUAGUUGGUGGGGUAAAGGCCUACCAAGGCAACGAUCUGUAGUUGGUCUGAGAGGACGACCAGCCACACUGGGACUGAGACACGGCCCAGACUCCUACGGGAGGCAGCAGUGGGGAAUAUUGGACAAUGGGCGCAAGCCUGAUCCAGCCAUGCCGCGUGUGUGAAGAAGGCCUCGGGUUG